UCCCGGAACGCUCUGCGCGCGCCUUCGGGGAGGAAGGGCUGCCUGGGCUCGCGGCGCGGCGCGGCUGCAGUCUGCUCUCUGUUCGGGGUCUCAACCUCUCCUCUGGCCGAGUCCCCGCAGGAAGCGGAUUACCGGACGCUGCAAAACACUUACGAUUUUGGAGUUUAAAGUAUGUCAUCAUGGCAAAGUUUCGGAGAAGGACUUGCAUCAUUUUGGCACUUUUUAUUCUGUUUAUUUUCUCUCUGAUGAUGGGUUUAAAAAUGCUGAGACCAAAUACAGCUACUUUUGGAGCUCCUUUUGGACUUGACCUUCUUCCAGAAGUUCAUCAACGAACUAUUCAUUUGGGGAAAAGUUUUGAUUUCCGAAAGAGUGACAGAAUCAACAGUGAAACAAAUACCAAGAAUUUAAAAAGUGUUGAAAUCACUAUGAAACCUUCCAAAGCCCCUGAACUUAACUUGGAAGAACUACCACCUCUGAAUAAUUAUCUACAUGUAUUUUAUUACAGUUGGUAUGGAAAUCCACAAUUCGAUGGUAAAUAUAUACAUUGGAAUCAUCCAGUGUUGGAGCACUGGGACCCUAGAAUAGCCAAGAAUUAUCCACAAGGGAGACACAACCCUCCAGAUGACAUUGGCUCCAGCUUUUAUCCUGAAUUGGGAAGUUACAGUUCUCGGGAUCCUUCUGUUAUAGAAACUCACAUGAGACAAAUGCGCUCAGCUUCAAUUGGUGUACUAGCCCUCUCUUGGUACCCACCUGAUGUAAAUGAUGAAAAUGGAGAACCUACUGAUAACUUGGUACCCACUAUUUUGGAUAAAGCUCAUAAAUAUAACCUGAAGGUUACUUUUCACAUAGAACCAUAUAGCAAUCGAGAUGAUCAAAACAUGUACCAAAAUGUCAAGUAUAUUAUAGACAAAUAUGGAAAUCACCCAGCCUUUUACAGGUACAAGACGAAGACCGGCAAUGCUCUUCCUAUGUUUUAUGUCUAUGAUUCCUAUAUUACCAAACCUGAAAAGUGGGCCAAUCUGUUAACCACCUCAGGGUCUCGGAGUACUCGCAAUUCUCCUUAUGAUGGAUUGUUUAUUGCCCUUCUAGUUGAAGAAAAACAUAAGUAUGAUAUUCUUCAAAGUGGUUUUGAUGGAAUUUACACAUAUUUUGCCACAAAUGGCUUUACUUAUGGCUCAUCACAUCAGAAUUGGGCUAGCCUAAAAUUAUUUUGUGAUAAAUACAACUUAAUAUUUAUCCCAAGUGUGGGCCCAGGAUACAUAGAUACCAGCAUCCGUCCAUGGAACACGCAAAACACUCGGAACCGGAUCAAUGGGAAGUAUUAUGAAAUUGCUCUGAGUGCCGCACUUCAGACACACCCCAGCUUAAUUUCUAUCACCUCUUUUAAUGAGUGGCAUGAAGGAACUCAGAUUGAAAAAGCUGUUCCCAAAAGAACCAGUAAUACAGUGUACCUAGAUUACCGUCCUCAUAAACCAGGUCUUUACCUAGAACUGACUCGCAAGUGGUCUGAAAAAUACAGAAAGGAAAGAACAACUUAUACAUUAGAUCACCAGCUGCCUGUUUCUUAAUGCAUUAAUUAAAGUUUAAUAGUUAUAAAAAUCACCUAAUUUUUAAAAAUAGCUUUUGUUUUGCGUUAUGGAAAGAAAACUGUCAAAACCAGUAUAUACUAGUAGUUAUAUUUAAAAAUACAUUUUAAAAAUUCUUACAGAUAAUAUUAUAAUUGUUACCCUUCACAAUACCACAUGAGAAAAUAUCUGAGACAAAAUGUAUACAAAUAUAUUCCUUAUGGCAUAAUUUACUGCAUUUCUGACUGAAAUCAAAAUUCUGAUUUGAUAGCAAUUGAAUUUUCAUUUUACGUAGAUAAAUGCUCGUGUUACCUAAAGCACUUAGCACACAGUUAAAUUAUACUGACAUCCUAGACCCAAAGAAAUAGGGUUGUGUGUAUAUUUGGGAUAUCUAUCAAAGAAAAAAAACCCUGAAAGAUAAUGUACAUGUUUUAUGUCAUAUUUUAAAAAUAAUUUAAUCAACUUUAUUGUUUUAGUAUUUAGACUCUGGAUAACUCUUCAAUAAUGAGGAAAUUCUUAAGAUUAACAAAAUCACUGUACCUUCCUCUCAAUUUUGCUAUGAACGUGAACCCAAAAUGGCUUUAAAUUAAUAGUCUUUUUUUUAAAUUUAAUUACAUAAAUUAAACCUUACCAUGACCAAAUUGUGUUAGGAAGGCCUGCUAUCUCCGGCACAGUGUGUCAUUUGCAGAUUUGUGGUUACCUAUACCAUGCUAGGUGUUUUGGCAUGUUUAGUGUUUCUGCUUUACAGUGCUGAAUUCCGUAUUUUAGAAGCUAUGGAAAGUCCUUUUAUGAAAAAGUUAAUGAUUGCUUCUCAGUUAUUAGGAAAACAGUUGUUUCACAAUUAUUAUGUAGAUAUGAUGCUCAAAUAUUUUUAGUAUAUCUGGUCAAUCUUUAAGUCGUUACUAUUAUAUUAUCCUUAUCUUUAAAUCAGAGACCAAAUAUUUUUUUAGUAAAGAAAAAUGUUAUUACUGUCAUUAGAUUGUCUUUUAAUUUAAGUUAUUUUGACCAAAAGUAAUAGAGUAAAUUUACUUACCAUUUUAGAUUCUAGAGACAUGGAAAUGAAAAUUAUUUUAUGUUUAGGGUAAGUCCAGAAGUUUAGCUUUACAUUAAGUUUAACACUGUAUAAUAAUGAAGAAACUAAUAUUUUACUUAAAAACUAAUACUUUCAAUUUUUUAUAUAGUAAUAUCACCAUUUUAUAAAUGUUAGACUUUUAUUAUACCUAUAGGUUAAAAUACUUGUCAUCAAUAACUUGUCAUAUUGUGACAAAUUGAUCACUUGUAUACUAAAAUUAAAUCUACUUAAAAACUAAAUAAAAUGCACUCUAUUCUUAUAGUUAAUGUUUAUAACUAUAACUAUAGUGAAAAAUAUAUAUAUCCUGUUACAUAAAUGUUAUUUCUUAGGUGUUCCAUUAAGAAAAGCAAUAGAAUAAUACUAAAAAAUAAUGCCUAUAAAUCUUCAGAGUAUAAAGACAUCCAUUCAGAAACAUAAAUUAGCACUAAAUUUUUUAUAAAAUAGCUCACCAGAUGACAAAAUUUAUUUUAUAUUUAAAUGAUGGUUUUGGCACAAAUUAUGUUAUUGAAAAGAGGCAGUAAGUACUGUUUAAUUUAUUUAUAGUUUUGGAAUUUGUCAUUUCUCAGAGAAUGAUCAGGCCUUAGGAAAUGAAUACAGUAGUAGUAAUCAUUUUCUAGGGGAAAAUAAAAGAAUAAAUCACUAUACUGAUAUUUUGAUAUAACCAAGCACUUACAUAGUAAUACUGUAUAGAUACAACCUGUGGAUUUUCUUCUUAUAUCCAUUUAACUUGAAUAUAUUAUUUUAGGUAUACUUUAUAAAUGUCAUACCUAAUACUCUUCUAUAAUGUACCAUAUUUCAUUAAAGUUUUGUUAGA